GUAAUUUUGUCCCAGAACUAUAGGUGGAUAGAGCGCUAACAUUUCUUUUUCAGGCUUAUCUUCUUUUUCUCCCCUCACGAAGGGUGUCCUCCCAGGUGUCAGUGCUCGAGUCUCUGACUAUCCAUCUGCUCUAUGGAAGUUGCUUAUGAAGGGACACACUGUUCCCUCCAGGUGAUCACCAUCAAAUCUGCAUUUCCACAGCAGCUUUUCCCUGCACUCCAGCCGGUGAGUCAACUAGUCAGAAGGCAGACGUGAUCUGACCCUACUCCAGCUAUACAAAUAUGUUUCCAUAGUCACCCAAACAGACUCUGUAGUCCAGGAAAGGUAAGUCUGUGGUGCCUUUACUUCCUUAUCUCCUGCUCUUGACAGAUCCUGCCAAUCCUCCUGCACUGAGCCAUAGCCCACUGGUCACUGACAUUUUUUGGUAAGGCCUGCCCUUGCAUUGUUGUGCGUUAUAUCCUUAACCUGAGACUUUUGCCCCUCUCCAUUUACCUACUCUAAUUCCUUCUUAUCCUUCACGGUCCACAUAUAUAUGGAGGCUGCAUGAGCUUCCUGAGUGCAUGAUGAUCUCUUCUUCCCACUGGUUUAUAAUUUAGUUUUUCCUAAGAUCUUUCUUUGUUCUCUGGUCUUCCUUCGGGAUCACAGAUAUCUACAUUUCUUUGCAAGGUUGUGAUGUCUGUAGGGAUCUAUUCUUGAAAGGUAGAAGAAGGUAACUUGGACAAGAGUGGUAGUAAAAGGGGGUAGAUUGAUGAUAUGUUGAGGAGACAGGAUUAAAAGAGCUAGAGAUAGAUUGGAUGCAGAGAAGGAGCAUGAAGGAACAGUCCAGGAUUCUGGCUUAAGCAAUUGGGUUGAAGAGAUACCAUCCAUUCAUUAAAAUGAGCAAAGGUAAAGGGGGAAUAGAUUAGAUGUGACUCUGGCUGGAAAUGCAGGUACCAUGGAGUGAACGUAAGUUCAAUUUGAAUAUGUUAAGCCUAAGAAGUAUGUGGGACCUCCCAGGAGAAAUG
rnacentral:lncRNA from 1 species